AAGGUACCAUACCAUUAGGUUCAUCCAAAAGUAAUUGCAGUUUUUGCCAUUGAAAGUAAUGGCAAAAACUGCAAUUACUUUUGCAUCAACCUAUAGCUUAUGUAUCUGCUA
rnacentral:miRNA from 10 species